CCUACGGGAGGCAGCAGUAGGGAAUAUUGCUCAAUGGGGGUAACCCUGAAGCAGCAACGCCGCGUGGAGGAUGACGGUUUUCGGAUUUUAAAAUCUUUUUGUUAGAGAAGAUAAUGACGGUAUCUAACGAAUAAUCAACGGUUAACUCCGGGCCAGCCGCCGCGGUCAUACGGAAGGUGCCAGCGUUAAUCGGAAUCACUGGGCGUAAAGAGCGCGUGGGCGGGAAAGCAAGUCCGCUGUGAAAUCCUAUGGCUUAACCAUAGAACUGCAUGUGAAACUGUAAUUAGUGAGUGUGCGAGAGGUAGGUGGAAUUCGUGGUGUAGGGGUGAAAUCCGUAGAGAUCAAGAGGAAUACGCAUUGCGAAGGCAGCCUGCUAGAACAUAACUGACGCUGAUGCUCGAAAGCGUGGGUAUCGAACAGGAGUAGAUACCCCAGUAGUC
rnacentral:rRNA from 1 species